rnacentral:rRNA from 1 species
CCUACGGGUGGCAGCAGUGAGGAAUAUUGGUCAAUGGACGAGAGUCUGAACCAGCCAAGUAGCGUGAAGGAUGACUGCCCUAUGUGUUGUAAACUUCUUUUAUAUGGGAAUAAAAUGUUCCACGUUUGGGAUGUUGUAUGAACCAUAUGAAAAAGGAUCGGCUAACUCCGUGCCAGCAGCCGCGGUAAUACGGAGGAGCCGAGCGUUAGCCGGAUUUAUGGGGUUUAAAGGGAGCGUAGGUGGAUGGUAAAGUCAGUUGUGAAAGUUUGCGGGUCAACAGUAAAAUUGCAGUUGAAACUGGCAGUCUUGAGUACAGUAGAGGUGGGCGGAAUGCGUGGUGUAGCGGUGAAAUGCUGAGAUAUCACGAAGAACUCCGAUUGCGAAGGCAGCUCACUGGACUGCAACUGACACUGAUGCUCGAAAGUGUGGGUAUCAAACAGGAUUAGAUACCCGGGUAGUC